rnacentral:rRNA from 1 species
AUACGGAGGAUCCAAGCGUUAUCCGGAUUUAUUGGGUUUAAAGGGUGCGCAGGCGGAAGAUUAAGUCGGCGGUGAAAUUUUGCAGCUCAACUGUAAAAGUGCCAUCGAUACUGGUUUUCUUGAGUGUGGAUGAAGUAGGCGGAAUUUGUGGUGUAGCGGUGAAAUGCAUAGAUAUCACGAGGAACUCCGAUUGCGCAGGCAGCUUACUAGGCCAUAACUGACGCUCAGGCACGAAGGCGUGGGGAUCAAACAGGAUUAGAUACCCUGGUAGUCCACGCAGUAAACGAUGAUUACUCGCUGUUUGCGAUACACUGUAAGCGGCACAGCGAAAGCGUUAAGUGAUCCACCUGGGGAGUACGCCGGCAACGGUGAAACUCAAAGGAAUUGGCGGG